rnacentral:rRNA from 1 species
AUUGAACGCUGGCGGCAUGCCUUACACAUGCAAGUCGAACGGUAACGCGGGGCAACCUGGCGACGAGUGGCGAACGGGUGAGUAAUGCAUCGGAACGUGCCCAGUUGUGGGGGAUAACUGCUCGAAAGAGCAGCUAAUACCGCAUACGACCUGAGGGUGAAAGCGGGGGAUCGCAAGACCUCGCGCAAUUGGAGCGGCCGAUGGCGGAUUAGCUAGUUGGUGGGGUAAAGGCCCACCAAGGCGACGAUCCGUAGCUGGUCUGAGAGGACGACCAGCCACACUGGGACUGAGACACGGCCCAGACUCCUACGGGAGGCAGCAGUGGGGAAUUUUGGACAAUGGACGCAAGUCUGAUCCAGCCAUGCCGCGUGCGGGAAGAAGGCCUUCGGGUUGUAAACCGCUUUUGUCAGGGAAGAAAUCUUCUGGGUUAAUACCUCGGGAGGAUGACGGUACCUGAAGAAUAAGCACCGGCUAACUACGUGCCAGCCGCCGCCGUAAUAC